rnacentral:rRNA from 1 species
CCGCCCUUCUUGGUCAUUUAGAGGAAGUAAAAGUCGUAACAAGGUUUCCUAGGUGAACCUGCGGAAGGAUCAUUAAAGAAUCGCCCCGUUUUUUGAAAGGGUUCUAUUCCCAAACCGGUGUAUACAUACCUUUGUUGCUUUGGCAGGCGCCGCUUAGGCAUUGGCUCCGGCUGACUGCGCCUGCCAGAGGACCCAACUCGUUUGUUUAGUGAUGUCUGAGUACUAUAUAAUAGUUAAAACUUUCACAACGGAUCUCUUGGUUCUGGCAUCGAUGAAGAACGCAGCGAAAUGCGAAAGUAAUGUGAAUUGCAGAAUUCAGUGAAUCAUCGAAUCUUUGAACGCAAUUGCGCCCCUUGGUAUUCCGAGGGGCAUGCCUGUUCGAGCGUCAUUAUACCACUCAAGCCUCGGCUUGGUCAUGGGGUUCGCGGUUUCGCGGCCCUUAAAUCAGUGGCGGUGCCGUCUGGCUCUAAGCGUAGUAAUUCUCUCGCUAAGGGUCCCGGCGGUUACUUGCCAGAACCCCUAAUUUUUUACGGUUGACCCGGAUCAGGUAGGGAUACCCGCUGAACUUAAGCAUAUCAAUAAGCGGAGA